rnacentral:rRNA from 1 species
GACGAACGCUGGCGGCGUGCUUAACACAUGCAAGUCGAACGGAAAGGCCCUGCUUUUGUGGGGUGCUCGAGUGGCGAACGGGUGAGUAACACGUGAGUAACCUGCCCUUGACUUUGGGAUAACUUCAGGAAACUGGGGCUAAUACCGGAUAGGAGCUCCUGCUGCAUGGUGGGGGUUGGAAAGUUUCGGCGGUUGGGGAUGGACUCGCGGCUUAUCAGCUUGUUGGUGGGGUAGUGGCUUACCAAGGCUUUGACGGGUAGCCGGCCUGAGCGGGUGACCGGCCACAUUGGGACUGAGAUACGGCCCAGACUCCUACGGGAGGCAGCAGUGGAGAAUAUUGCACAAUGGGCGGAAGCCUGAUGCAGCAACGCCGCGUGCGGGAUAACGGCCUUCGGGUUGUAAACCGCUUUUGCCUGUGACGAAGCGUGAGUGACGGUAAUGGGUAAAGAAGCACCGGCUAACUACGUG